AUUGAACGCUGGCUGCAUGCCUUACACAUGCAAGUCGAACGGCAGCGCGGGGCAACCUGGCGGCGAGUGGCGAACGGGUGAGUAAUAUAUCGGAACGUGCCCUGGAGUGGGGGAUAACGUAGCGAAAGUUACGCUAAUACCGCAUACGAUCCAAGGAUGAAAGCAGGGGACCUUCGGGCCUUGUGCUCCUGGAGCGGCCGAUAUCUGAUUAGCUAGUUGGUGGGUAAAAGCCUACCAAGGCGACGAUCAGUAGCUGGUCUGAGAGGACGACCAGCCACACUGGAACUGAGACACGGUCCAGACUCCUACGGGAGGCAGCAGUGGGGAAUUUUGGACAAUGGGGGGCAACCCUGAUCCAGCAAUGCCGCGUGUGUGAAGAAGG
rnacentral:rRNA from 1 species